AUUUGCCAAUGGGCGCAGCCUGAUGCAGCCUGCCGCGUGUAUGAAGAAGGCCUUCGGGUUGUAAAGUACUUUCAGCAGUGAGGAAGGUUCAUGCGUUAAUAGCGUAUGGAUUUGACGUUAGCUGCAGAAGAAGCACCGGCUAACUCCGUGCCAGCAGCCGCGGUAAUANNGAGGGUGCGAGCGUUAAUCGGAAUUACUGGGCGUAAAGCGCAUGCAGGUGGUUUGUUAAGUCAGAUGUGAAAGCCCGGGGCUCAACCUCGGAAUUGCAUUUGAAACUGGCAGACUAGAGUACUGUAGAGGGGGGUAGAAUUUCAGGUGUAGCGGUGAAAUGCGUAGAGAUCUGAAGGAAUACCGGUGGCGAAGGCGGCCCCCUGGACAGAUACUGACACUCAGAUGCGAAAGCGUGGGGAGCAAACAGGAUUAGAUACCCUGGUAGUCCACGCCGUAAACGAUGUCUACUUGGAGGUUGUGGCUGAGCCGUGGCUUUCGGAGCUAACGCGUUAAGUAGACCGCCUGGGGAGUACGGUCGCAAGAUUAAAACUCAAAUGAAUAUUGACGGGGGCCCGCACAAGCGGUGGAGCAUGUGGUUUAAUUCGAUGCAACGCGAAGAACCUUACCUACUCUU
rnacentral:rRNA from 1 species